rnacentral:rRNA from 1 species
UGGGGAAUAUUGCACAAUGGGGGAAACCCUGAUGCAGCAACGCCGCGUGAGUGAUGAAGGCCUUCGGGUUGUAAAGCUCUGUCUUCAGGGACGAUAAUGACGGUACCUGAGGAGGAAGCCACGGCUAACUACGUGCCAGCAGCCGCGGUAAUACGUAGGUGGCAAGCGUUGUCCGGAUUUACUGGGCGUAAAGGGAGCGUAGGUGGAUAUUUAAGUGGGAUGUGAAAUACUCGGGCUUAACCUGAGUGCUGCAUCCCAAACUGGAUAUCUAGAGUGCAGGAGAGGAAAGUAGAAUUCCUAGUGUAGCGGCGAAAUGCGUAGAUAUUAGGAAGAACACCAGUGGCGAAGGCGGCUUUCUGGACUGAAACUGACGCUGAGGCUCGAAAGCGUGGGGAGCGAACAGGAUUAGAUACCCUGGUAGUCCAUGCCGUAAACGAUGAUUACUAGGUG